CCUACGGGAGGCAGCAGUGGGGAAUAUUGGGCAAUGGAGGCAACUCUGACCCAGCAAUGCCGCGUGAGUGAUGAAGGUAAUUUUAUUGUAAAGCUCUUUUCUUUGGAACGAAUAAAUGACGGUACCAAAGCAAUAAGCCCCGGCUAACUACGUGCCAGCAGCUGCGGUAAUACGUAGGGGGCAAGCGUUGUUCGGAAUGCCUGCGCGUAAAGGGUGUGUAGGUGGUUUGAUAAGCUCUAUGUGUAAUACCCAGGGCUUAACUCGGGUGCUGCAUCUAAAACUGUUAGACUCGAGUACUGGAGAGGAUAGUGGAAUGCCUAGUGUAGCGGUGAAAUGCAUAGAUAUUAGGAGGAACAUCGAUUGCGAAGGCGGCUAGCUGGAUAGCAACUGACACUGAGGCACGAAAGCGUGGGGAGCAAACAGGAUUAGAUACCCGUGUAGUC
rnacentral:rRNA from 1 species